rnacentral:rRNA from 1 species
UGAUAAAAAAGUUUGUGACCUCGAUGUUGGAUUAAAAUUAUGAAUAGGGGUAGUUUUUUAUUAUAUAGGUCUGUUCGACCUUUAAAUUUUUACAUGAUCUGAGUUAAAACCGGCGUGAGCCAGGUUGGUUUCUAUCUUUAAAAUAAACAUAUAUUUUAGUACGAAAGGAUUAAAUAUAAAAAGUAUCUUUAUUAAGUUGAUUUUAAUU